CCUACGGGCGGCAGCAGUGAGGAAUAUUGGUCAAUGGGCGCGAGCCUGAACCAGCCAAGUAGCUUGCAGUCUUCCUUCCCUCCUUUUUUUCCCCUUCUUUUCUCCCUUCCUCCAUUUAUUCACUUGUGCCUUUUUGUAUGUACUUUAUGAAUAAUUAUCUUCUAACUCCGUGCCAGCAUCCGCUGUAAUACGGAGGAUCCGAUCGUUAUCCGGAUUUAUUGGGUUUAAAGGGAGCGUAGAUGGGUUGUUAAGUCAGUUGUGAAAGUUUGCGGCUCAACCGUAAAAUUGAAAUUGAUAAUGGCAGUCUUGAGUACAGUUGAGGUAGGCGGAAUUCGUGGUGUAGAGGUGAAAUGCUUAGAUAUCAAGAAGAAAUCCGAUUGCGAAGGCAGCUUACUAAACUGCCAAUGAAAUUGAUGCUCGAAAGUGUGGGUAGAAAACAGGAGGAGAGAAAAGGGGAGGC
rnacentral:rRNA from 1 species